AUGCUGGUGAACAAGGGUGCGAGUGGCCUCUCCUCCAAGGUCCGCAUCGAGGAGGAUCACCCUGAUCAAUGGAAGACAGGCGUCUCGUUCCGCGUCCUACUGCAUGUCGACCGCGUGGAGGAUUUCACUGGAGCUCCGGUCUUGGACGGCGGUGAGCCGCUCACCAACUUCAGGCCCGUUUCGCACUCCCUGCCACAAUGCAACCUGGGCACCAUUGAUGGCCGGCCUGUUGGUGAGGGCUCGGGUUCCAUCCUUCCGGCCCCCAUCCCAGCUUUGGGCAAACUCAGCCCAGCCUAA
rnacentral:rRNA from 1 species